GUAGCUACUAGUACCACUCAAUAAUUUUGUUUGUAGUUUAGAAUUUAGAAACGUGCUUAUCUAUAUCACCUAGUUAGAGAAUAUGUUGCAUAAUCCUAGAAGGGGAUAAUCUCUUCCAUUAAUUUAUGGGAACAUUUAGAAUUCUAAAAAAAAUCGUUACAAAAUUUAUGGGAACAGUAAGGAUAGGACUUUAUUCAUCCCAACUAUCAAUUAUACUGCAGUCCAAUUAAAAAUAUUAAAAAAAAAAAAAAAUAGAAUUUAGAAUGCUACAUUGCAAACACUUUUUUAUGGUUAAGACAGAGAAAGUGGUGUUCCUAAACCGAGGAUUGUUGGAGUCUUCGAGAAGCGAGACAAAGAAAAAGGUGAGGUAAUCGAAUCAGCACCACCCCAAAAGCUUGGAGAAGAGAAUCUGGUAGCGGGUUCCAUUCGAUUCCCCCAAACUCAGUGCUGCAUGUUAAGAUUGAAUUGGUGUCUUUCAAACCUGUCAUAAAUGUUACUGGCGACUCCGUGGUGAUUAAGAAGAUUUUGAAAGAAGGGGAGGGUGCUUUCACAGCUAAUGAGGGUGCAAAUGUUACUGUCAACUACACAGCUAUGCUAGAAGAUGGCACUGUAUUUGAGAAAAGAGGAAUUGGAAUGAAUAGCUAUAUAUAAAUAUAGUGUCAAUAGUUUCUUGUUGCUUUUCAGUAUGUAAACAAUGUUUAUCAAUUUAUUUCACCUUCAUAUGUAGCAAGCAAUAAUGUAAUUUUCCUUUUCUAUGGUUCUCAACUCUUGCUAUAGAUAUGGUAAGCUUUUUUUAAGUGCA